GAUCUGUGGAUGUUCAAGUCAAACACAUUUUUGCUGGAACAUAAGCCAACUUUGUGACAACUUGUCAGCAGUUAUUAACCAAAUUCUGCAAAGAAGAACUUUUCCUCAUCAAUGAGGCCACUUGGCUACCCUGAAGAAUCAUUCACAUAGGAAGAUGGCAUCUCAGUACCUGUGGACCAAACCAACAAGUAAAUUUUGAGACCCAGAACAUCUUCAAAUACAUGAAAGCAGGAAGCAGUCAGAGAGAAAGCAACGUCCACAACCCCAUAGAGG